GCUUGUCUCAAAGAUUAAGCCAUGCAUGUCUAAGUAUAAAUGGUAUACAGUGAAACUGCGAAUGGCUCAUUAAAACAGUUAUAGUUUAUUUGGUAUUCGAAUUUACAUGGAUAACCGUGGUAAUUCUAGAGCUAAUACAUGCGCCAAGUCCCGUCUUACGUCGGGAUGUAUUUAUUAGAUUUCAAUCAACACUUUUUGCUGACUCAUGAUAACUUAGCGGAUCGCAGAGGCCUCGCGCCGGCGACAAAUCAUUCAAGUUUCUGCCCUAUCAGCUUUCGAUGGUAGUGUAUUGGACUACCAUGGCAUUCACGGGUAACGGAGGAUUAGGGUUCGAUUCCGGAGAGGGAGCCUGAGAAAUGGCUACCACAUCCAAGGAAGGCAGCAGG
rnacentral:rRNA from 1 species